rnacentral:rRNA from 1 species
GAAUAUUCCGCAAUGGGCGCAAGCCUGACGGAGCAAUGCCGAGUGCAGGAUGAAGCGGCUUCGCCGUGUAAACUGCUGUCAGGGGUCAGAAACACUGAUCGACCCCAAAGGAAGAGGCGGCUAACCCUGUGCCAGAAGCCGCGGUAAUACAGGGGCCUCGAGCGUUAAUCGGAAUCACUGGGCUUAAAGGGUGCGCAGGCGGUCUGGAAAGUGUCCUGUGAAAUCCCACGGCUCAACCGUGGAACCGCGGGGCAAACUUCCAGACUUGAGGAAGGUAGAGGCUGUUGGAACGAUAGGUGGAGCGGUGGAAUGCGUAGAGAUCUAUCGGAACGCCGAAGGUGAAGACAGACAGCUGGGCCUUUCCUGACGCUCAUGCACGAAAGCGUGGGGAGCAAACCGG